AGAUACCCGGUAGUCCCGGCCGUAAACGAUGUGGACUUUGGUGUUUGGAAAUGGCUCCGAGCUGCUCCAGUGCCGAAGGGAAGCUGUUAAGUCCACCGCCUGGGAAGUACGGUCGCAAGACUGAAACUUAAAGGAAUUGCGGGGGAGCACCACAACGCGUGGAGCCUGCGGUUUAAUUGGAUUCAACGCCGGACAUCUCACCGGGGGGCGACAGCAGAAUGAUGGCCAGGUUGAUGACCUUGCUUGACAAGCUG
rnacentral:rRNA from 1 species